GUACCUACGGGGCGCAGCAGUGAGGAAUAUUGGUCAAUGGGCGCGAGCCUGAACCAGCCAAGUCGCGUGAGGGAUGACGGUCCUACGGAUUGUAAACCUCUUUUGCCGGGGAGCAAGCGUGCGUUCGUGAACGCGCGUCGAGAGUACCCGGAGAAAAAGCAUCGGCUAACUCCGUGCCAGCAGCCGCGGUAAUACGGAGGAUGCGAGCGUUAUCCGGAUUUAUUGGGUUUAAAGGGUGCGUAGGCGGUCCGUUAAGUCAGCGGUAAAAUUGCGGGGCUCAACCCUGUCGAGCCGUUGAAACUGGC
rnacentral:rRNA from 1 species